ACAGGCCGUCUGGAAGUCUCACCGACUGCCUUUCGCCUCUUGGUCCCUGAGAGUGUUUAUUUUUGCACCAUUCUGCCCUCCGUCUUGGUUGUCUUGUCGUGGGCUAGCUCCCUCGGGCUGCAGUGACCAAGUGCCACGAAAGGCUUAAGACAGAGGAGUACGUUAUUUCACAGUCUGGAGGCCGGAUGUCUGCAGGGCCGUGUUCCCCUGAGGUGCCAGGGAGGGGAGUCUCCCAGCCGUCCUCUCAGCCUCCGGCGUUGUAUCUUAUGGGUUGUUGACGCGUCACAUCUGGCCAGCUCCUCCCCGCGUGUCUGUGUGUCUCUCAGAACGACACCCGUCUCUGGCUUAGGGCUCACCCCAUGCCAGUGUGGCCUCAUCUUCCCUAAUCCCACCUGCGGAGAACCUAACUCCCACUAAGGCCCCAUUUGCAGGUACUGGGCUGGUCUUGUUGUUCAGUCGCUCAGUCGUGUCUGACUCUCUGCGACCCCAUGGACUGCAGCACGCCAGGCCUCCCUGUCCAUCACCAUCUCCUGGAGUUUACUCAGACUCAUGUCCAUGGAGUCGGUGAUGCCAUCCAGCCAUCUCGUCCUCUGUCGUCCCUUCUCCUCUUGGACAUGACUUUUGGCCCCUGCUGAGCCCACCAAAGAUGGAUUAAGUGUUUGCUCUUCAGCGAGAGGCCAGAUUCUCUCCGCCCCUCAGGCUGUGUCGCAGACGGCGCUCUGCCUGUGUCUGGCGUAUCGCACCGGCUCCUCGUGUGCGUGCACGUGUUUACAGAUCUUGCUGGAGCCCCGGCAGCUGCUGUCACGGCCAGUUCGACUGGUGGCGUGCUGUGAGAUGCACUCUGGUGGACACUGCUUAAAAAGUAUCCCAAGAAGGCAAAGAGAGCAAAGAGCAACAGCGGAAAUCUCCAUGUCAGGUCAGAGUCUGGGUACUUCCUCCGUCUAGAGAGGACCCUGGGGGCCUCGGUCUUGCUUCGCUGUGAUUGCAGAGGGGCUGUGGGGUGGUGCGUCUCCUCCUGUUCCCACACGUAGCUUCAGAGUGCAGCCCGAGUCAGGCCCGGUCUCUGCGGCCCGCAGGACUGAGCUGGGGCAGGAUCUCCGUCUGUGAUAGAGAUGAACGCCUGGGUGGCAGGGCUCACUGGGCAGGUGACUGGUGCCUGGCAGUGCCUGGCCCGGCGUGGGCGAUGAGCUGAACAAAAGCGGCUUCGUGUAGACUGGUAGACACGGCCACUCGAUUCUCGUUGCGGGGACUGGGCGUCAAGCAGUGCCACCUUAUUUCACCAGGGUGGGUCUACACCAGGCGGCUCCUUCCGUCUGAUGAAAAGGACACUGGGCCCAGCUGAGAAUUUAGAGCGUGUUCUUCCCUUGGCGGCUCCUUUUCCUCACCCUGCAGGUGUCCCUCAGUCUCAACACCACCUGGGCCCCCGGCUGCGUCCAUGAAGGGUGUCUGGGAGGGGCCCAAAGGGGCCUCAGAGGGCCGUCCCAGGUGAGGACGUGUGAGCCCCACAGCGACGCUCUGAGGUCGGGGCGGACGCUAGACAGGACACCGGAGUGACUCGCGCAGCCUCUGGCUUGGCCCCGGCUUUUCUGCUCAGGCUUGGAGUGAGCUUGCGCCCGGUGGCCCCAGAUGCCACCUUUUCCACCGUGAAGCUUGAGUGGCUGGCGGGCCUGGGGCCCCCUGAGCUCUGAAUGGCUUCCUUUUCUAUGUAGGGAGCUUUCCCUCGUUUUCUGCGCUGACUCCCGCCCGUGGGAUCUGGGAUGUCCCUACCAGCAUCUUAUCCACAGGGAAGGGAGACUCCCGACUGGCGUGUCCCCUUGAGCGCGCCACGCUUGUUUCCAUG
ensembl:lncRNA